rnacentral:lncRNA from 1 species
UCCCCCCUCCCCCAUUCCUCCAUCCCUCUACAGCCCCUGCUCAAGCCCACAGGGGUGAGAUAGAGAAGCCCAGGCCACCACCACACCCAUGGGUGCCCCAGACUCCUCGUGGGGGUCCCCGCAUUCCUGGACGUGUGGCCAAUGCCCUGUGUCCUCCAUGUGACCCUUUCAGGGAGAAGUUGGAGCAAACGGAGCCCCCGGGUUCCCCGGCCUCCCUGGCAGAGAGGGCACUGCUGGGCCCCAGGGGCCAAAGGGAGACAGAGGCAGCCAGGGAGAAAAGGUGAGUGUCCCUGGGGCGGGUGGAUGGGGUGGGGGGUGCUGGGACAUCUGGAAGGUUUGGCCUCAGCUGC